rnacentral:rRNA from 1 species
AACGAACGCUGGCGGCAUGCCUAACACAUGCAAGUCGAACGAACCCUUCGGGGAUAGUGGCGCACGGGUGCGUAACGCGUGGGAAUCUGCCCUUUGCUUCGGAAUAACAGUUAGAAAUGACUGCUAAUACCGGAUGAUGUCUUCGGACCAAAGAUUUAUCGGCAAAGGAUCAGCACGCGUAGGAGUAGGUAGUUGGUGGGGUAAAGGCCUACCAAGCCGACGAUCCUUAGCUGGUCUGAGAGGAUGAUCAGCCACACUGGGACUUAGACACGCCCCAGACUCCUGCGGGAGGCGGCAGUGGGGAAUGUUGGACAAUGGCCGGAAGUCUGUGCCAGCAAUGCCGCGUGAGUGAUGAAGGCCUUAGGGUUGUAAAGCUCGUUUACCAUGGAUGAUAAUGACAGUACCGGGAGAAUAAGCUCCGGCUAACUCCGUGCCAGCCGCCGCCGUAGCAC